CCUACGGGAGGCAGCAGUGGGGAAUAUUGCACAAUGGGCGCAAGCCUGAUGCAGCCAUGCCGCGUGUAUGAAGAAGGCCUUCGGGUUGUAAAGUACUUUCAGCGAGGAGGAAGGCGUUAAGGUUAAUAACCUUGGCGAUUGACGUUACUCGCAGAAGAAGCACCGGCUAACUCCGUGCCAGCAGCCGCGGUAAUACGGAGGGUGCAAGCGUUAAUCGGAAUUACUGGGCGUAAAGCGCACGCAGGCGGUCUGUUAAGUCAGAUGUGAAAUCCCCGGGCUCAACCUGGGAACUGCAUUUGAAACUGGCAGGCUUGAGUCUUGUAGAGGGGGGUAGAAUUCCAGGUGUAGCGGUGAAAAGCGUAGAGAUCUGGAGGAAUACCGGUGGCGAAGGCGGCCCCCUGGACAAAGACUGACGCUCAGGUGCGAAAGCGUGGGGAGCAAACAGGAUUAGAUACCCGGGUAGUC
rnacentral:rRNA from 1 species